CCUGCCCCUACAGGCGUUGCAAAGGUGGCUGCUGUGACAUCUUUGUGUCAUUAGGUGGCAGAGAGAAACAGGCUAUGUUCUACGCUCGUUUGUUCUGAAACCUGUGAGCAUUCAGAGUGAUUGAUAGCCUGACAUUG
ensembl:snoRNA